AUUGAACGCUGGCGGCAUGCUUUACACAUGCAAGUCGAACGGUAACAGGCCGCAAGGUGCUGACGAGUGGCGCACGGGUGAGUAAUGCAUCGGAACGUGCCCAGUCGUGGGGGAUAACUACUCGAAAGAGUAGCUAAUACCGCAUACGAUCUAUGGAUGAAAGCGGGGGACCGUAAGGCCUCGCGCGAUUGGAGCGGCCGAUGUCAGAUUAGGUAGUUGGUGGGGUAAAGGCUCACCAAGCCAACGAUCUGUAGCUGGUCUGAGAGGACGACCAGCCACACUGGGACUGAGACACGGCCCAGACUCCUACGGGAGGCAGCAGUGGGGAAUUUUGGACAAUGGGCGCAAGCCUGAUCCAGCAAUGCCGCGUGCAGGAAGGAGGCCUUCGGGUUGUAAACUGCUUUUGUACGGAACGAAACGGCCCUGGUUAAUACCCGGGGCUAAUGACGGUACCGUAAGAAUAAGCACCGGCUAACUACGUG
rnacentral:rRNA from 1 species